rnacentral:rRNA from 1 species
UACGUAGGGUGCGAGCGUUAAUCGGAAUUACUGGGCGUAAAGCGUGCGCAGGCGGUUUUGUAAGCCAGAUGUGAAGCCCCGGGCUUAACCUGGGAAUGGCAUUUGGGACUGCAAGGCUUGAGUGCGGCAGAGGAGACUGGAAUUCCUGGUGUAGCAGUGAAAUGCGUAGAUAUCAGGAGGAAUACCGAUGGCGAAGGCAGGUCUCUGGGCUGACACUGACGCUCAGGCACGAAAGCGUGGGGAGCGAACGGG